CCUGGGAGCUUCCAGGGCCGCCGGGCUGCGGUUCCCGCCACUGCGCUGCUGACUGCUGACUUUCCCAGGCCGCCCCGCGAGCGCGGACACCGCGGAUCCCGAGGGCUCAGGUCCCCGCGGACCCGCCGUGUCCUCCGCACCCGGGUCUGCAGCGCGCGGGUCCCGGGUCCAGCAGGGGAUGGAGAAACUUCCGGUGUCUUCAGCCCGGUUGCUUGGAGACGGCGCCUCCCGCCCCGCCCACUGCACCCCGCUUCCGGCUACCUGGUUCUCCGAACCCGCGCUCCUCCUCCCCUGGCUGCUCUCUGCCAGCCUUGUUCCCACGAUCCAGGGAUGACAGGAGCUCCAGCCUUGAGCGUUGCAGAGUCAUCAGGGCGGUCCAGGAAUGGGGUUGAUCGGGGACCGCGCCGCUCCCCCAGAUGUCACCAGCUGCCACGGGGCACAAGUGGUGCCUCCCAUCCUCUACCGGAAACGACAGUCCUGGCUACAAAACUUAAAAACCCACCAGAGAUCUUUUCUCUAUAUCUUAAAAAAAAAAAAGUAUAAUAUUUUGGAGACAAAAUAAUCUGUUGGUUGUCUUUGUCUUUUUCACCCUUACUGUGUUGGCUGCACCUUAUGGCCGGACAUAAAUAUAUAACUAUGAGUCCCUUUGAUGUAGACAACAUUAAAGAUGUUUUGGGUGUUCUAUUAAAAGGCUGUUUCUAGAGUGGAGGUGUGGUGUUCCCCUUCUCUGGAUCCAAGCGUGUUUAAAAUACGCUCUAUGCCUUGUGUGAGGCUGAGAACCUAACAUCCAGAGCAAAACAGAAUGGCCAAAAAAUUACAGGUGGUUUAUGUAAGCAUUCUCUAUACCUCAAGAUGCAUAAGUACAUUUUGUCGGAUUCGGUUAAAAAUCUGUAAAAGGAAAAAAGUUAGCUUAAAACUAGUAAAAAAGAAAUCUAUACAUAGAUAAUCUUUUUGUUUUUGUUUUUUUGUUCUUGUUUUGUUUUUUUGUUUUUUGGUUUUUUUUUUUUUUUUUUUUGCUUUUUAAACAGGGUUUCUCUGUAUUGUUUUGGAGAGUGCCCUGGAACUAGCUCUUGUAGACCAGGCUGGCCUCAAACUCACAGAGAUCAGCCUGCCUCUGCCUCCUGAGUGCUGAGAUCUUGAGCCACCAACGCCUGGCUACACAGAUAAUCUACACAGAUAACCUUAAAGAGACGGUGUGACAUACUCCCAUUCUGUCCUAUAAGCUACAUGAGGCUGCUCACCAUUUUUUGCUAGAGUUGGAGAAGACAGAAGGCAUGGCAGUUCAUCACCAUAUAACUAACGCUGACUCUGUGGAAUGGGCCUACCAAGGACACAGCAAUAGGUCUCCAAGAUAUUUAUAUUAGGGCGGAUUUUUGUGUAAUAAUUCCUGUCUUCUCCUAACAACAACAUUCAGAAAUAAACCCCAGAGAAUAAAUACUAAAUAAUCUACA
rnacentral:lncRNA from 1 species